GAUGUGACGUCACGUGAAGGCGCGUCACUGCCGCAUCACUUCCCACGGCUUUUCCGCGUCACUUCCCGAGGCUUUUCCGCCCCUUUUGUCCGGCCGGGCCCGCUCCCACGGGCGGCUCCAGCGGCUGCUGCCCCUCCCCAGGCUCUCCCCCGAGCCCCCUCCCCACUCAGCCCCGGGCAGGCUCCGCAGGGGUCCCGCUGCCUCGGGGUGGGGGUAAAGCCUGUCCUCCCCCGGAGCCCCCCCCACUGCCACGCGGGUGGGUUGGUGGGGAGAGGGCGCCGGGAGGUCCCCGCCGGGGCGGGGAUGAUGCUCCGGGGAGCAUCGUGGCUUUCUCCAGGGGGGCUCCCCAGUUUGGGGGAUAGAGUGGGGGUGGAUGCCGUUUUGGUGCUGCUGGAGCUCUGCGCGGGACGGGCCGGUGCCGCAGCGGUGAAUCCCGCAGCGCCUCCCGAGCCCUCCCGGCACCGCUCCCAGCCCGACGCCCCGGGGGCAUCCUCGGAGCUGCAGCAUCCUGCAUCCCACCGCUCCUUCCCGGGAAACGCCCCAGGUGAGGAGGAGGAGGGAGGUCUGAGCCUCUCUUUCCUAUCCCAGCACUCCUGGAUCACCUGGAGCAAGGGGAAGCUCCGGAGAAUCUGAGAAGGAAAAUCAAGGUGUGGAUCCAGGUGCUUGUGUUGGCAGGCCUGGACAGAGUUAAUUCAUCUAAUUUGAGGAAAAUCCUUGGGAUUGGUGCUGCUGGAUUAGUGAUGGGCUGGCAUCUCCUAAACCCAUCCUGAGGGGGUCGGGAGGACAGUCAGGAUUGCUCCAACACCACUGGGCUAACCCAGAAUUCCUGAUGGGGAGAAAAAAAGAGGAUUUGCUCACCAGCAGGGAAUGCUCCCCACAUCCUGGGAUGGCCUCACUGCCACUCACGUGGAUCCUCUUGGAGAGGUGCUUCCCUCUGCUCCUGGAGGUCUGAGAGCUGAUGAACCUCACCCAGGGGUGCCUCAGACACCGAAGCUGAGCACAUUCCACAUUGUAGAGUUAAUUUUCCCUUCCUGCCAGCUCUCUCUAUUAAUGCUGGGAUCUUGUGGGUGGUGCAAAACCCGGUAAUUACCCACUUUUAUAGUAAAAAGAUAGAAUUCUCCCCAAGCACUGCGGAGAGUACGCAGAGUGAAUCCCUGGGAGUGCCUGGGUUAAGUUUCCAUGGGUGAAAUCCCUCUCCUAAGCGCCGUGAGGGCAGGAGGAGCUGAUGGCACAGACCAGGAUCUAGGAUUUGUGGAUACUCUGAGUGCAGGAGAGGUGGGCUGCUGCGGGCGAGGUCUAGCUGUGCCACGCAGGGUGACAGUGACACAGACAAAGCCACCAGGAGAGCUCAGGUGAGCCCAAGGGGGGUUGAAUCCAGGGAGGAAUCAACACCUCAAAGCCACAAAGGGGCUGCCAUGGACCUUUACCCACUUGUGAGCCACCCUGAGGCCUGCAGGGCUCAGAUCCCGCGGGGGAGCAUGUCCCUUGCUCAGGCUCACGGGCUCUGUGCGUGGCAGUUAAAAAUAUAUAAAAAUAUCUAUAUUCUGUAUAUUUAGCAUCCCUGCUCUGGGUAACCGUAGCAACUGGGUUUAUUUUGCUUAAACCUGGCCUGGCAUAUGAUGUGGUUGGGAAGGAACAGCUGAGGGGAAACAGAGGGAUGAAGUUCUCUGUGCUGGAAGCUGGGGAGGAGCCUUGGCACGGGAUUGUUCUUGGGGUAACCUUGCUGUGUCCCUACACCGGGGACAGCCACCAGCAUUCCCACGGCUCUGCCCCAUCCCUUUUGCUCCAGCUGCAAAGGGAAGGUUUUGUUUUAGGGGUUCCAUCCCCAUUUUCUGCCGGGCCUCCCAGGACACCCCUGACCGCUGCUCCUUGGCCCGUGCAGAUUUGCCAAAUCCAGGUCCUGGCAGGAAGAGGUGGUGAUGGCUUCCCUGAUGUCUGGAGAUGCGUGCCCUCACCUGGAGCAGCAGGAGCCUCAUGCCACCCCAAGGCAAAGGAGGCACCUUCAUCAGCUCCACCAGAACCCCACCAGAGUGGGCUUCCACCCCCUUCUCUCACCCAGCAUCUGCAGCCCCCAGGACACAGCAGACAGCCUCUCCUUAUCCUCAAAGCUGCCAGCUCAGGCUUAAAUUUCCUGUAUUUUACUAGAAAACCCGAUUCCUCGUG